AACGAACGCUGGCGGCAUGCCUAACACAUGCAAGUCGAGCGAAACCUUCGGGUCUAGUGGCGUACGAGUCUGUCACGCGUGGGGUCCUUCCCUUGGGUUUUGAUUAACUUCCCGAAAGUGGUGCUUAUACCGGAUAUUAUCUUAGGCCCAAAGAUUUAUGGCUUUUGGCUGGUCCCGCGUUGGAUUAUUUAGUUGGUAGGGUAAUUGCCUACCCAUGAGCCGAUCCAUAGCUGGUCUCCGAGGAUGAUCAGCGACACUGGGACAGGGACACGGACUAGACUCCUACGGGAUGCAGCAGUGGGGAAUAUUGGACAAUGGGCGAAAGCCUGAGCCAGUAAUGCCGCGUGAGUGAUGAAGGACGGAGGGUUGGAAAGUUAAUUUAACCGGGAUGAUAAUGACAGUACCAAGAGAAUAAGCACCGGCUAAAUCCGUG
rnacentral:rRNA from 1 species